GUGUCAGCAGCCGCGGUAAUACCGGCAGCACGAGUGAUGACCGCUAUUAUUGGGCCUAAAGCGUCCGUAGCUGGCCAUGCAAGUCCAUCGGGAAAUCCGCGCGCUUAACGCGCGGGCGUCCAGCGGAAACUGUUCGGCUUGGGACCGGAAGAUCUGAGGGGUACGUCCGGGGUAGGAGUGAAAUCCUGUAAUCCUGGACGGACCACCGGUGGCGAAAGCGCCUCAGGAGGACGGAUCCGACAGUGAGGAACGAAAGCUAGGGUCUCGAACCGGAUUAGAAACCCGAGUCGUCC
rnacentral:rRNA from 1 species